GAUACAGCUGGUGGAGCAAAGUUCUGAACACAGAGUAUAUUCCCUCAAACAGCCUAUUAGCAGUUGAAGAAAAUGUCUCACUGUGCCAUUUCUGUGCCUUUAAACCUCACCUUUGUAACAUAAUCUGGUUGGGAUUCCUGCUGAUCAUUGGGUCAUAUCAGAACUUGAUUCUAUUAUUGUUCCAGGGGAAAAUGUCCUUGGCCUUUUCCCUUCAGAACAUGUAAUGAUUCAUUGUCCUCUCCCUAUAAAGCCUUCACCUUUUCUGGGUCAUAAAUUUUCUAACCUGACAGCGGUAGUAUUGAAAAGAACAAAUCUCUGUGCAUGUUAUCUCGAACUCACCGGGGGCCAGGCAAAAGCAGGCAUGCAGCUGAAUGGCAAAGGAAAUGAUACCACACUAAGAUGAGAUUGUUAUUUAGCCACUCAAGUAGAACAUAGGCAGUGAAAAUAUUUAUUUUAAAGUCUUAAAACACCAGUUGCUUGAGCUCAUGUGAAAGGGUGCCUGGUUUUACUCAGUGUAGAUCCAUUGAAAUGAAUGAACAUAACUAAGGAAGAAAUGGGUUUUCUGUCGCUUCAUGUGGCCGGCUGCCUUCCUGGGACAAAGUGCUCUGUGACAGUGACACGGUCACAUCACAGAAUCUUUUUGGGAGGUGGCCAUCUUCUUUCCCUGAAAAUGAGGCUGUGUUACAUAGACCCUGAAGGACAUUCUCUUCCAGGAAUGCAGCUGGAUUGCUGAGGGCGGCCGAGCUGCCACUUGAAGCCAUUGUAAGAGUUUUAUGGUGAAUGUAAAGGUGUUUCUAUUAUCUUGCUGCUUAUGGGACUGUGGCAACAACUCCCUUGAGCUUCAGCAGGCUUCACGAGCACGUUUAUGUCAUCGCGGAAGCAAGGUACACUGUUUCUCUUCUAUUUACUUUCUGACGCAAUUGAAAAACCAUUUCCUUAAAAGUCUUUCUGUCCUAUUAUAUUUUUCCACACUGUACGUGAAUAGGCAACUGUUCACAUGGGUAGGCGAUCAGAUUGGGUAAUGGGAAGUUGUGAAUUUAUAUUCUGCCAGUCAGCUAAAAUUUGUAUUGCUCAAUGAAAGAGUUGUUUCAUAUUGACACUCCUGUGUCUCCCAAGAAUCAGUGAAAUGAAUAUUAUCCUGAUGGGCAAACUACUAACUUGGUACAGUAUAGGGUUUUUUGUUUUUUUUUUAGCAUUUGUGAAUUUAGGUAACAAGGUGCAUGUUCAUUCACACUGACGUCAGGGGGAUUUACUGUAAGCAACCUGUGCACAAAAUUUAUUUAAUGUUUUCGCCUGCCUGUCCAUGACUCAAGAUGGCUUUAUGGCACAUUCAAAUGUACAAAAAUAAAACCAAUUUAGCAAAACCAAUAAAGAGACAUACUGGAAAACACAGUUACUAAUUUCAACAACAGCUGCAGA